ACUUGUGCUCUUCCGAUCUGUCACCUAACAACCCCAAAUCUCCCUCCCUCCCCAAUAAAACAGGUCUUGCCAAACCUUUCCCCCAGGACAGCGGUGCCUACUCGCUCUGUACCACACAGCUAAGAGAAACUGGAACAAGUGAUUCUUCACCCGGUCAAGAGAAUUUGCUUCGCAACUACUUUCGAUGCCUGCCCAAAUGGCAAAGCAUUUGUAAACUUCUCUUGCUAAAGAAGAAAGAAACCACAGAUUUAAUCUUUAGUUAAGCAUCUCUUGGAUAGGACAUUUUACUAUACUUAAAAAGGUUAAAAAUCUUAUAAACAUAUAGUGGUUUUCUGACAUGAAGUUUGACUUCUCUCUCAGAUGAAAACACCACACAAGUUGGCGAAUAACAUUAGCAUUAUUACUCUCACCAUCAACCCCAGAAGGAACAACAUUAACAUUUAUUGAAUGUUUGCUAUGUGCCAGGCUAUGUUUCACAGGUGGAGAAACUGAGACUUGAGUAAUUUGCUCCAAAACAGUCAGUGCCAGAAACGGGCUCAAACCAAUACCUGUCUGACUAUCCUGCCUUUAGUAGGCCCCAGUGUUUCUUAAUUGAGUGGCUGAACCUCUGCUUAUUUUCUAAAUAAACCUAAUAACCAUCCUAAGUUAAGCUACCAUACAGACAGAUCCCCAGCAUGAAAACUCAUCAUUUGAGUGAUCGAGAUAACAUCAUCAGUAAUAAGUCAUGUGGUAGUAUCAUGUACCCCCUAAUAUGAGGCAAUGAGAACGUCAUGUUACCUCUGCGAUUGUCUUCCCUAAAACCCAUACUCUCGGUCUAAUUAUGACAAGACACCAGACAAACCUAAAUUGAGGAACAUUUUAUAAAAUAACUAGUACUCUUCAAAAGCUUCAAGGUUCUAAAAGGCAAGGAAAGACCAAGAAACUGUCAGAUUGGAGGAGGCCAAGGAGUCAUGACCAGUAAACGUAAGGUGUUAUCGUGGGUUGGAUCCUGGAACAGAAAAAGAACAUUAGUGUAAAAAUUAGGGAAAUAUGAUAAGGUCUAUAUUUAAUAGUACUAUAGCAAUGUUAAUUGUCAAUUUUGACGAAUAUACCAUAGUUGUAUAAGAAGUUAACCUUAGGGGAAUUUGGGUGACGAAUAUACAAGAACUGUCUGUACUAUCUUUACACUUUUCUUUAAAUCCAAUAUUAUUUAGAAAUAAAAAAUUAACAUGAUUGUUAGGGCAGUCAGUCAAGGGAAUAUGGAUGGUAUUAGUGUUUUCUGAUGACGGUGUAGUUGGUCCUACUGAUAAUUCUCAGCCUUGGGUCUGGAAGAGGAAUCAGGAUAAGGAAAUUAACUUUGCUGGCAUGAAGAGCUGCCACUUUAGAUGUAUGACAUUGUGGUUAGAAUAUACAAUCAAAUUCAUAGCCUACUUUACUGGUUUUAAUAUCUCUUUUUUCUCUAAAGUUUUAAAAGAGCGUCUAAACCUUGUAUUAGUAGACUUAGGCUACAAUAGGACUCUUGUUCCCACACAGAAGGCUUUGUCUUCCCCUGUGUCCCCUGAAAGAAAAUUAAAUCAGCAUGACUUGUUCCAUCUCAGAUGGUUUUUUUUUUAUAGCAAGAAAUAUGUUUCCUAGAGGGUAGAGAGAAAUACGGGACUGUUCAUCUUUUUUCUCCUUGGAUUUGGUCUCCACUCAAAAUAUCUAAAUUUGUCAAUCCCAGAGAGAGAUCUUGACUUGAAGUUUCUCCAAAGUUCCUAUGAAAAGGGACACAAGUACUUUAGCUGUGAUUAUUUUAAUAUUUGAAGUGUAUAGGACUAGUUUAGAAAAUUAUCAAUUCCAUUAUUAUCGUUCUUUAUAUAUUAGAUGAAUUCUCUGGUAUGAUAUAUUCAGUGUGUUUCAACAAUUUGGGUAUUUCGGGCUUGCUCCUGUGGUUAUAAAUUCAGUAGGUUUCCAGGUAAUGUUAAUAACUAACGUCUGUAAAGUCAGUUACAAUUAAUAGUAUUUUCUUAGCCUGUACAUUUAAU